GAGCUUGCUCGGGUGGACAGUGGCAGGCGGCUUAGUAACGCGUGGGUAUCUACCUAGAGGUUUGGAACAACUAUUGGAAACGAUAGCUAAUACCAAAUAUUCCCUAAGGGGGAAAGAUUUAUCGCCUUUAGAUGAGCCCGCGUCGGAUUAGCUUGUUGGUAGGGUAAAGGCCUACCAAGGCAACGAUCCGUAGCUGGUCUGAGAGGAUGAUCAGCAAGAUUGGGACUGAGACACGGCCCAGACUCCUACGGGAGGCAGCAGUGGGGAAUAUUGCGCAAUGGGGGAAACCCUGACGCAGCGAUGCCGCGUGAGUGAAGAAGGCCUUAGGGUUGUAAAACUCUUUCACCGGUGAAGAUAAUGACGGUAGCCGGAGAAGAAGCCCCGGCUAACUCCGUGCCAGCAGCCGCGGUAAUACGGAGGGGGCUAACGUUGUUCGGAAUUACUGGGCGUAAAGCGCGCGUAGGCGGAUUAGACAGUUGAGGGUGAAA
rnacentral:rRNA from 1 species